rnacentral:rRNA from 2 species
GCAAGUCGGACGGCAGCGAGGAAGUGCUUGCACUUCUGUCGGCGAGUGGCGAACGGGUGAGUAACAUAUCGGAACGUACCGAGUAGUGGGGGAUAACUAAUCGAAAGAUUAGCUAAUACCGCAUACGUCUUGAGAGAGAAAGCAGGGGACCUUCGGGCCUUGCGCUAUUCGAGCGGCCGAUAUCUGAUUAGCUAGUUGGUGGGGUAAAGGCCCACCAAGGCGACGAUCAGUAGCGGGUCUGAGAGGAUGAUCCGCCACACUGGGACUGAGACACGGCCCAGACUCCUACGGGAGGCAGCAGUGGGGAAUUUUGGACAAUGGGCGCAAGCCUGAUCCAGCCAUGCCGCGUGUAUGAAGAAGGCCUUCGGGUUGUAAAGUACUUUUGUCAGGGAAGAAAAGGCCGGUGUUAAUACCAUUGGCUCAUGACGGUACCUGAAGAAUAAGCACCGGCUAACUACGUGCCAGCAGCCGCGGUAAUACGUAGGGUGCGAGCGUUAAUCGGAAUUACUGGGCGUAAAGCGAGCGCAGACGGUUUGUUAAGCAGGAUGUGAAAUCCCCGGGCUCAACCUGGGAACUGCGUUCUGAACUGGCAAGCUAGAGUGUGUCAGAGGGGGGUAGAAUUCCACGUGUAGCAGUGAAAUGCGUAGAGAUGUGGAGGAAUACCGAUGGCGAAGGCAGCCCCCUGGGAUAACACUGACGUUCAUGCUCGAAAGCGUGGGUAGCAAACAGGAUUAGAUACCCUGGUAGUCCACGCCCUAAACGAUGUCAAUUAGCUGUUGGGCAACUUGAUUGCUUAGUAGCGUAGCUAACGCGUGAAAUUGACCGCCUGGGGAGUACGGUCGCAAGAUUAAAACUCAAAGGAAUUGACGGGGACCCGCACAAGCGGUGGAUGAUGUGGAUUAAUUCGAUGCAACGCGAAGAACCUUACCUGGUCUUGACAUGUACGGAAUCCUCCAGAGACGGAGGAGUGCCUUCGGGAGCCGUAACACAGGUGCUGCAUGGCUGUCGUCAGCUCGUGUCGUGAGAUGUUGGGUUAAGUCCCGCAACGAGCGCAACCCUUGUCAUUAGUUGCCAUCAUUCAGUUGGGCACUCUAAUGAGACUGCCGGUGACAAGCCGGAGGAAGGUGGGGAUGACGUCAAGUCCUCAUGGCCCUUAUGACCAGGGCUUCACACGUCAUACAAUGGUCGGUACAGAGGGUAGCCAAGCCGCGAGGUGGAGCCAAUCUCACAAAACCGAUCGUAGUCCGGAUUGCACUCUGCAACUCGAGUGCAUGAAGUCGGAAUCGCUAGUAAUCGCAGGUCAGCAUACUGCGGUGAAUACGUUCCCGGGUCUUGUACACACCGCCCGUCACACCAUGGGAGUGGGGGAUACCAGAAGUAGGUAGGAUAACCUUCGGGAGUCCGCU